rnacentral:rRNA from 1 species
UAAAUGUCGUAACAAGGUCUCCGUUGGUGAACCAGCGGUGGGAUCAUG